CUUCGCCUCUACGCAUGCGCCAGUCUACUAUAAUUCUAAUUUUCUUAGCUUCGGGAUUAUAAACACGUUCUAAAACCACACCGUAUCAUGUCUGCCAAAACAGAUUUUAAAAUCAACUCCCAAUUCGCAAAGAGAUAUGAUAAAUACCGACAGAAAGAAGAGCUGCAGAGGCUAAAGGAUCGAUAUGGAGACCGCGAUGUUGACAAUGACUCGGAAUCAUCGGAGUCCAGUUCGGAAGACAGCGAAGUGGAGUUGGAUCCAGGGGUUGAAAGGGACUUUUACAGGACAUUGUCACUCCUAAAGAAGAAAGAUCCGAAGAUCUAUCAGAAAGAUGCGAAAUUCUACUCAGAAGACGCACCCAACACUGCUUCGAAACCAUCAACCUCAAAGUCAAGCGUGAAGCCCAUGUACCUGAAGGACUAUGAGCGUAAAGUCAUACUAGAGAAGGAAGGAAAAUAUGAUGAUGAGGAAAGUGACAGUGAUGAUGAGGAGGCAGCCAAAAGACUAGAAAGGGCCUCUUCCCCCAGCUACCUGCAGGAGCAGAAGCAGUUGAAAGAAAGUUUCCGAAAGUUCAUCCAAGACAGUGAUGAUGAAAAUGACGGCAGUGGGGAAAGAGUCUCCCAGUUGCUAAAGAGGAGGAUCAAAACACAGGAAGAACAGGACAAAGAGGAGGCAGACUAUGUGGAGUGGCUCAAAGGGCAGGUGGAUCUUGACGGAGCGGAGGAGGUGAAGGACAUGAAAUACCUACGAGACUACUGGAAUGACCCGGAACUGGAUGAGAAUGAAUGUUUCCUUCGAGACUAUGUUCUAAACAAACGCUACAAAGAUGACGACGACGAUGAGAGGAUCCCGACAUAUGACGAGGUGGUGCAGAACGAUGUGGAGGAUUCUGAAGAGGAAGGCGAGACCUUCUUGGAGCGGCAGCAGGACUUUGAGAGAAGCUACAAUUUCCGUUUUGAGGAGCCCGAUGCUCAUCAGAUCAAGACGUAUCCUCGCAACAUUGCCACUUCAGUGCGCUCCAAAGAUGAUCGCAGAAAACGCAAAAGGGAGGAAGUGAAAGAAAGGAAGGAGAUGGAGAAACAGCAUAAACGGGAGCAGCUGAAGCAACUGAAGAACCUAAAGCGAAACGAGAUCAUGGACAAACUGAAGAUGCUUCAGGAGCUUACUGGCAAUGACAAGCUAGCUUUUAGUCAAGCUGAUCUGGAAGGAGAUUUCAAUCCACAACAUCAUGAUGAGCUCAUGCAGAAAUUUUUUGGGGACAAGUACUAUGGCGAGCAAGAAGAUGAGAAGCCUCAGUUUGAGGAUGACGAUAACCUUGAGGAGCACUGGAACUGGGACACGUGGACAGGAGAAGAGCAAGAAGAAACGUAUGGCGAAGAGGCGGACUAUGAUGCCGCAGAGCCGCACUGUGAUGACCAGGAUUUCAUCAUGGAUGCAGACUAUGACCCUAGCCAGAACACAGUUUCUAAAAAGAAUAAAAAGGAGAGGAAGAAAAUGAAGAAGGCAGAUGUACCUCAGAUGGGCAAGAAGAAAAAGAAGUCUCACUUUGCAGAAGUGGUCACAAAAAACAAGCCCGUCUUUGAUCCUCAGGAGAAGAGUUUUGAGCAGUACCUGGAUGAAUACUAUAAACUGGACUAUGAGGACAUCAUUGACGACCUCCCAUGCCGGUUUCGUUACAGGCAGGUCCUGGCCAAUGACUUUGGUCUGUCCACUGAUGAGAUCUUGGGUGCUGAUGAUAAGGAGCUCAAUCGAUGGUGCUCUCUGAAGAAGACCUGCAUGUUCAGGUACUGGGUGUUAACAGUGGCGGGCCAUGCAUUUGGAACCUGGGGCUUCAGUGGACCAGAUUUAACAACUAUAACAUCACAAUUAUAGAAACCUUCAAUCCUAUUUUUAUGUUUAUAAUUUUUUAAAUAAUAAUCGUAAUAUAGCUGUAUGCGACUGCCACGUAUAUCAUCUGGAGCUGUUCAGCAUCAAUAUUUAUCUAAUAACAUGACAAACAUUAAUAAAAUACAUCAAACCCACCAACGAUGCCUUAUUAAUGCAGAAAUUGUUUGCAGAUCACUGUAGAUGUUUUUGCAAGUCAAAUUUGGAGUGACAGGUUUUGCUCUGACCAACCAGAGUUAUUAGCAUCUGACUUCAUCAAGGGCCAUCUCACUGGAUUUGAAAGCUAAUCGGUCAAAGAAAAAUCCCCUAGCUAAUGUAAAUCUUCUAUAUGCACAAUUCAGGUGACCAAACCCAGAGAACGGGAUAGCAGACUUCCUGUGUGUGUUACAUUACCGAGCAGGAAUACAGUUUGAUUAUGAUUACAUUGUUUAAAGCCGAACUUGAUAAAACAAUUUCGUUCAUGGCUGGUGUUUUCGGACAAAAGUUAAAUACUAGACUUCACGCCGAUUUUUAUCGGCUGAUCUGUAUCGGCCGAUAUUUAGCAUUUUAUGCUGAUCGGCUUUGUUGUCAUUUGUUUGUUGUUGUGAUCCGAUCAAUGAUGUCAUUGGUCAGCUGAUCGCCGAUUUGUGACAUUAAAGCCGCAAAAGACAUUAACGCCGCGUGCACAGUAUUGCACUGUCAGACUACAGCAAUAAAAUCUUUUAUUCCAAUACUACCGCAUCCCGUUUUUUUACGAUCAUUGGGCUUUAUCUUGUCAACUCAAAUGUGACCGGAUACACUCGUUACAGUGGCGACAACAAGAGUGGAGCGCGCCGACUUAGUAUUAUAUGGACUGAAUGGGGAAAAACGUGUGUUGGUUGUCACCGGUGUUCAGGACAGGAGCGGACGUUCGUUUAAGGCUUGCUUCAGAUCUGACCACGAAGAGAUGAAUGAUUUGAGG